CUUUUUGUCACAAUUUUAACUUGGAGCGAAAUUUGACUCGACGCUGGGCCUGUACCCGAGGCGAACAAGCCACUUGUUUGGGUGAACUCAACGGAAGAAAUAAUAAAGGCACAGGGUGAAGCGAAGGCCGACCUGGAGGAGCUGGCUCGCGACGGCACCAGGUGAAGAAGUGACCGGCGGCCGAUGCUUGGGCGUGGAGGGUCUGGCUCGCUGACGAGGCUUACCGAAGCCACCUCCGCGGCCGCCGCUCCGGCUAAGACAUGAGUAUGACCGCGUCAAGGACGAGGGUGACGCAGGCGUAGCGCGAGUUGGCGCACGACGAGCGAGAAGGGGGAGGGGGUAUAGACUAAGACCAGAGUGAGGUGGGAGCAGCAAGGAGACUAAUGCAGCUCAUUUGACCUAGUACUGAAAGGACGUCCAUAGCUAAUACUCAUGUUCCGCCACUUGGAGGAGUUCCCGCUCGUCAGACUAGGGCUCAAGUACUUCGAAUUAGGAUACUUCAAGCAGGGACGGAACCAGCUGCCGCUGUGUCACUAACCACUGAGCAUGCGUUAUCGUAACAUAAACCUCCUGUUCAUGGGAGUCGCAGGAGAAAACGGGGUUCUGGAAUUUUUCUUCCGGGACUUAUAGGUCUAUCGUUCGUAGCACACGAGACCAUAAGUUGGAGAAGUGUUAGAGUGGAACCACUCUAAAUAGCUCGUUUUCCAACCUUGUCCCCUCUCGUAGGGCACCCAGGUUGUUGUCUAACUAUCUCCAAAGUGUCGACAACUCUUGUACUAGUUUCCGACACGACCCUUCAAACGAUACCCUCUACUUCAGGUUGACCGUCUACAUAAGGAACGUGGGGUCUAAAAACGACGCCACUGAGCAAUAGUCUAACUGUACAGCUUGAUAGGGUGCGAGCGCUCCGAGGUGCUAGUCAUAUACUGUGUGGGACGUAAACUUCGACGCGAGGGACUGGCCGUCGGCCUACGGGGAAGGAGACGGAUCUGUAUCCGGCCCCCACUUAGUCAUCAAGAGUGAGGAAACAGACAUGGACACAGGACAGGGCAAUGAAGUUUGAGAUUGUUAUUCGUGUCUUCAAGGACUUGCUUCACAUUUCACCGAUGACAUCAGACAUAGUUUUGUUACUUUAUUAACACUAGUGAUCAGAAACCUAUAGACCU
rnacentral:rRNA from 1 species